AUGUAUAUAUAUCAUAUAUGGGUUUAAGCCCAAUAAGAAAAAAGCAAAAAAACAACCAAAAAAUGAAAGGAAAAGUUAGUCACGUGAGAAAAGAGAAAAUAAAAAAGGAUACAGAGAAGAAGCAGUAGCAGUUCUGCCUGCAAGAAGAAAAAGGGAAAGAGAAAGAAGAAGGCAGUGUGUGAACAGAGGGAAGGAAAAUGUUGACAAUUUCAUUCAUCAGAGUGGCAGAGUAGCAUAGGAGGCAGAGGAAAGGGUAGCAUGCGGCUUGUAGCACAGAGGAAAAAAGGAUAAAAGCAAAGGAAAGUCAAGCAGCUAGGGGGGCAAGGAUGCAGAACAAUUAAUGUAAUGAAGAAAUUUCACUGAAGGCAAUCUGGAAGAUAAGAAAUCAGAUGGGAAACAGAUGGAAAAUUUUGGCUAUAAAAGGAGCCUUUCUUUCACAAAUUCAGACAACACAGAGACAGACUGAGAGCUUAGUGACCCACACACUCACAUACAGGAAAAUCACUCUCUUCCUCCCUACGCAACCCUCUGAUUCUCUCAACUCAAUCACCAACACACAAAAACUCACCCUCAACCAAGGAUCACCGCCACACCAUCGCCAUGUAGACCCAACACCACCACCGUAGUGGUGGCUGCCUCCUCAUUCCAAGCCACCACCGUCACCUCCUCCCCUCUCAUCCUCUAUAUCUCAUCAAACCACAAAUCAAAAACCAAGAAAUCAGUAACAUAACUCACAUCCUGGCCGCCACCCUCGCAUCUUCUUCCUCCUCAUUAUCAACCACCAUCACGCCACCUCCUCCCUAACAACACAGCAUCCUCUCCUUCUUCCCACACACUCCUCCUCUCCUCCACCAACAACCAUUUACACCAUCUCCUUCUCUCAAUAAAUCACUUUCAAGCCAACAUCAAAACCCAAAGCAAAAAAACAACAAAUAAACAGAAACAGGGAAGAAACAUAAAGGAAGAAGGAGGACGCAACCAUCACCGCCGCCAACCUUUAUCGCAGCUGGCCACCGCCAUUUCAGCCUUGCCGUCGUCGCCCCUCUGUGCCACUUGUUCCCCGCCGCUGGUCCACCAUCACGCGCCGCUGUUGCGCGCCGUUCCUUUUGUUCCAUCGCUGCCACCUCCAUGAACAGCACCCCACGCACCUCUUUCCAUCACCGCCAGUUUCCGCCGUCCGGAUCGCGCCCACCACCGCUGCCUCACGCAGAGCUGCCGCCAUCACUCGCGGUCGCCACCACCGGGAGCAUCACGCGCCACCGUUUCCAUUCUUCUUCCCCUGCACCAUUUCUCACGCCUGCAACAAGGUUGAGGCGGAUGUUACGAUGGCCGAGCUGAGAUUUUUCAGACAGGAUAUUAGCUAAGGACGAGCAGGUGGACAUUGGACCAAGGAUGAGCUCGCAAGAGAGGGGUUCCUCAUAGUGGUUUAGAUUUUGUUAGUGUCUAUAAAAAUGUAUAAAUGGGGCAUGGGUAGGUAUCAAAUGUUUAUGCCUUUAUACGGUCACCAAGUGUGGGAUCGUAGGAGGUGUAUCGGACUAAGAGGUGGUUUCUUUUUGCUGGCAGCAUGUACCUUAGAAAACGAGUCUUUGAAUUUGUAAAAUGAUGUUUCAAGGUUGACCUUUAUGUAAUACAUUUUGACUCGGAUAUAUGAUAUAUGUUGCAUCUGACUUUAUGCAUGC